GCAGAGCCGUGGCCCUCUUCUUUGUUCUCUGCUGGAUCCAAGAGUCGGAGUCUCCCUAUGUUUCCCAGGCUGGUCUCGAACUCCUGACCUCAAGUGAUCCUCCCACCUCAGCCUCCCAGAGCGCUGGGAUUGAAGACGUGAGCCACCGCACCUGGCCUGAAUUUUCCUCAGAUUCAAAAAAUCCUGAUGAAGGUUUGGCUAAAAUCUUUGGCUAUUCCCAACAAAAGAGCUUGAACAGUGCUGCAUUUGCAUCAGGUUCAAAUGAGCGAGAGGAACAUUUGGCUAAAAUAUUUGAUGAAAUUCUACUGCAGGUGUUUCCAAAGGUUCCGUAUCAUCCAUCAUUUAACGAAACAACAGCAGUCAGAUCCAUUACAAAGACAGACAUGAGAAAAGGAACCAGUGUUGUUUGGAAAUCUCCUAAACCAGAAUAUUUCCUUGGCAGUGUGGACAAAAUUCCCGAUAAAGAUCACCUUUCAGAGGAGAAGAGUUUUAAAGAAUCCUCUCUGUUCGACAGGGUUUUAAGAGAGCAGUUAACUACUGUAGAUAAAGAAACACUUCAAGGGGCAGCUAAACCAGAUCUCCUCCGGCAAACACGACAUAUAAUAUUUUUAUAAUGAAUGGAAAGACAUGGUGGCAAAAUUCUGAAGAAAAAAAUUUCACAAAAUGUGCAAAAAAACAGAAACAGUUGAAGAGCAGCUCCGGCGUCUAAGCCAGGUCGUGGGG
rnacentral:sRNA from 1 species